rnacentral:snRNA from 1 species
GCUGCUUCUCGGCCUUUUGGCUAAGAUCAAGUGUAGUAUCUGAUGCUGCUUUGGAAAUUUGAAAUCCUGAAGAAUGUUCCAUUCCUAUAAGUCUUAUUGAUAUGUAUGCUCUCAUAGUUUGAAGAUACUCCAAAACUAUUAAUUUGCAGGUAUACUUCAGGUUAUGUCUU